CCAAGGACUAAACAAUUCUUGGAUAUAGAUAUUCUCUUCUAUUUGCUAACCUUAGUUGUCCUUCUCUGCGUGCAGCUUCCCCGGUUGAUGUGGCAGAUGCUUCUUCUGGAGAUGGAGAGGCUGAGGAAGAAACUAAUCUGUUUGUUGACGUAGCAGAUGCUUCUUCUGGGGAUGGAGAAGCUGAGGAAGAAACAAACCUAUUUGUUGACGUAGCAGAUGCUUCUUCUGGAGAUGGAGAAGCGGAGGAAGAAAGUAAUCUGUUCGUCGAUCAAGAGAAUUGCUAUGAAAUGAGCUUCAUUGAUAGCGCUGGCCUUGAAUAUCAGAUCGUUCGUCAUAAUAUCAAGGAAGAAAAAGAAGAGCUGCAUAUUAAGGAGGAACCAUGGUCUCCUGGAAGCCCCGGCAGUGAUGAAUAUCCACCUGUUGCAGUCACCGUUAAACAAGAAGAGGAAUUGUGCGUCGAUCAGGAGGGUUUGGCUUCACUUGCUGGGCACUCAGUGCUACUACAGUCUGUUGAAGAAGAAGAGGGACAGAAGACUCCAACAUCCUUGAUGGCCUGUAGGAAUGCUCUUCUGCAUGAUGCCACAGAU
rnacentral:lncRNA from 1 species